CUCCAACCACCAAAUGGUGCAGUUGAGCUUUGAGCCAGAAGAGACCAGGCCUGCCAAGGCUGGCAGAAAUGGAGCCCUCUCCCUGCCCCCAGUCUUCUUAGCAUAGGAGGGAAGAGUGGGUGUAUCCUAACCCCGCCUGACAGCACUUUACAUCACCAGAAGAAACUCCACAGUGAUGGGUUUGUCUGUAUGGUCCAGAGCAGAGCAUAUGGAUGAAAAUAUUUGCUGUAGGGUAUUCCUGGCUGUUGAAGAUGAAAUCCAGGCCCCACAUAAGGCUGUGGAAGAGUUACUAUGGACUUCUAUGGGGUCAUCAUUGACUUCAAAAUGUUUCUUUUCUUGACAAGGAAUGUGACAUUUGCAUUUAAAUUUCCUGGGGUUCAUCUGUUUGUCAGCGCCAAGGCCAUCUCUGUGAUUUACAGUGUUGGCUGGUGGAGGUUUGAGUUCCAGGCUAAGCUGCUCAUCAAGGUUCCCUCUAGAGCCAUUGGGGAUCAAGACAUGUCACUGCAGCACAGACAGACUGCUGGCACUCACGGGAGCAGUUGCCAUUCAGAAGUACCUAUUUCCUUCCUGGACUAUAGAGGGAGCCAAGACAAUUGGCUUGAAUCAGGAGUCCAGCUGUUAUUUAGGAUUGAAUUCACAGCCAUCCGAUGAGGAGAAGGAAAAUUGCCAUCCCCAGACAGUCACUUACUGCCUUUGAGCUGGACAAGCCAGAAUCCAACAUCCCUUUCCUGAAUUGACUAACAAAUGCAGCAGAAGUUUUUGAAGCACUUCUUGUGCAAAUCUCCACCACAAAAGAGAAGCAGUCACCUCUCCAGGUCCUGAACUGCCUCAAGGAAAAUGGAAACAACAUUUACAGCAUUAACCAUUACAUGGAGCAGCACUCUCCCUGUGCUUCACACAUCACAAAGAGCCGCCCAUGCUUCUCAGAGAUGCUCCUGGCUUUCAUGGCAGUGCAGGGCAGCCAGUGGAACAAAAGACUUCAAAGCAGGCAAAUUAAGGAUGAUCUCUAAGAUAAACAUCUAUUAUUCACUAUGUCUGAAGUCCAUACCUCUUGCUUUGUGUUGCCCAGAGCCUGCUCUUUGUCUGCUGUCAGGUUUUCAGUGUGCCACUGGGGGUGACUGACUUUUCCAUUCAUUUCUAGGCAUAACUAUUUUCUCACUAUUCAGUCAAGCUUUGUGACAUUUGCACGACUUCCACCAGGUCUGAGGAAGAGAAGUAUGUUGCACAUUGCCAGUGAAACAACCCAAGUCACUAUUCUAGUAUUUCUGCCACACUCCUCUGUUUCUGUCCAAAGUAAUCCAAAAGCUUUACCUUUUGCACCUUUAGAUAGCCUCAGUGAUACCUUCUAUACCUAUUGAUUCACUGUUUCUGGAUUUUCCUUUAUUUUUCUAUUGUAUAUGUACACUCUUCCUGUUUAACAAAGGAGAUGGAAGAAGGAAAAAAUAACUGCCUUCAGUCAUUCUGCUGGGACUGAAGAUGAGUAAGUUUUGGAUGUUACAUACCAGAGGCAUCAGAUGGGUGCAAGGAGCAUGAAGAUGUCAUUUAUUGAAUAUGAAAAUAUGAAUGAUUGGUAUAAAACACAAGUUUACAGCAGUUAUCACUUGAGUGAAGCUCACUUUUGACAAGGCUCAGUGAGAGGAGCAGGGGAACCAUUGUUUACCCUUUGGGUUUUUUCCCACUCAUAGCAGAAAAUGAAAAAAAAUAGAGCCCUGUCAAACAUAGGAGAUCCAUCUCAUGCAGGGUCUUGAAAUAUGGCUUUGUUCCAAACUGGAACAAAGCUCCCAAAUUUCCAAGUAUUCAAUGAAGAAAUUUGUCAGAGAAAAACAAUCUAACCCAUGUUCACAGAAUUAGUUCACUUUGUCAGAACUGAAGUGCUCUGUUUUCACUUUGACUUCCUCAUACUUUUUAUAUAAUGCAUCUAACCGGAUCCUAAAUAAAAUACCUCAUGCAAAACUUUCAACUUCAACACCACUGGAAAAUGGCAUCAUCUGGGGAUCCCACUUUGAAAGAAAAGUUACCAAAAUCUCCAUGGAUAUCUACUGAGAUAGUUGAGAAGUGAAUUUCAGUCCUUUAUUGGUUUGUACUUGCUCGUGCAGAAAACAAGCCUCCCAUCAUAAAACACCAAGAAGCAGGGAGGCCACCUGACAUACACCCAGCCCUGCCCAGUAAUUCCACCCAGCAGUGCCUAAGGAACCCCAUGAAGAUGUGAGGAGGGGUUCUCACAGUGUGGGCUCUGUGCCUCCAACCCACCGCUCCAGGUCCCAGACCUUUUCAGAUGAAGGAUGAAGAGUCCUGGCAGACAAGGUUAACAAGUUCCCUUCAUGAUUUGAAUUGUGAUGGACUGUAAGCUGGGUUUCUACAACCUUGGAAGAUACUCCUGCACACUAGCUUUGAUUUGGAACCAGCAGGAGCAAGGUCAGCAGAUGUGCCCAGCCCACACCAGGUGGGGCUUUUAUGUGUCCUAGAAUAUCUAUUGGCUAUAAUGAAAUAUUUAAUUAUUUAAAUUAUUUCCAGUACCUACCUAGAACAUAACCUGGGUGUGUAAGUGGGAAUACAUGUUUGGAAAUGACUGGAGCCAGCCCUGAGAAAUGGGCUGAGCUGCCCCUGCUCAGCUGCCACAGUGUUGAUCCUGUGGGGCUUGUUGGGUUUUGUUUGUUUAGUAAUCAAGCAGGGCCCUUUUUAGUCAUUGUGUAAUCUGGGGCACAACUUGCUCACAUGUGGUCAUGACACAGCUCCCUCACAAUCCCUCCCUGCUGAGUACAUGAGGUGUGACCUCAGCACAGCCUUGGGGGGCAUUGCUCACCCCCUGCUCCACGCUGCUCUUGCAGCUCUGCCAGUGCAGUUUAAUCACUGCUGUGGAGCUGUGUGGGAGCUCAAACCACCACAUUGCUCAAAGUAACUCCGUGGUAGAGAGUAGACCUCUAAAAUGCAAAGCAUUAGGGUGGAGAGUUGCUUGACUCCUGCCAUUCAUUUCUUUUUUACAGAGCAUUGAUGCACUGAAACUUCCAUCACAAGGAACUAUCAUUAACUAGUGCACAUUUAUUUGCUUAAGGAGUCUAAUAAUCAAUCAUCAAAUUUUUCCACUUGUUUUCUGGCAUUGUAUUUCAUCACUUGGUAAAGUAUGAAACAUUAUCAUUCUUUACACAAUUUUGCUAACGGAAUAUUUAUUUGAAGAACUUCCAAUAUAAAUAAAGAUUUUCUACAUAUAUUCCUUUAAAGAGAUUUAUUUUCAUUUCAACUAUUUGCUUUCCUAUGAAAAAUUCAUGUGAAAAAAUAAUCCAGAAAUGUAAAUGGCAUGAAAAUGGAAUUAUCCAUCAGAUGGAAGGGGUGAUCAGUCCAAGCCAGGUAUGUGGGUUUGGGUGGGGUACAGCAAAUGGCUUCACUGGUUUAUAUGUUUGGGGGAUUUCUCUGCAAGCCCCUCUAUCCCCACUACUGUGGUUCAUUUAUUCUUUGGGAAAGAAAAGGAAGGCUGGUAUAAAUUAGGAAUGGUAAUGUAAAAGCUUUUACCCACUGCAUAAAAGAUUUUAAAAUUAUUACAAGCAUUAAAUUGCCAAACUUUUUUCCAUAUACUGCCAGUAUUAAACAUGACAUGCCUCCUAGGGUUGGUAUAAAGUUUUGUCAACAUUUUUGGCGUACAAGGUCUCAGCCUGGGGUCAAU